rnacentral:rRNA from 1 species
AUUGAACGCUGGCGGCAUGCUUUACACAUGCAAGUCGAACGGUAACAGGUUAAGCUGACGAGUGGCGAACGGGUGAGUAAUGCAUCGGAACGUGCCCGAUCGUGGGGGAUAACGCAGCGAAAGCUGCGCUAAUACCGCAUACGAUCUGAGGAUGAAAGCGGGGGACCGUAAGGCCUCGCGCGAUCGGAGCGGCCGAUGCCAGAUUAGGUAGUUGGUGGGGUAAAGGCUCACCAAGCCGACGAUCUGUAGCUGGUCUGAGAGGACGACCAGCCACACUGGGAAUGAGACACGGCCCAGACUCCUACGGGAGGCAGCAGUGGGGAAUUUUGGACAAUGGGCGAAAGCCUGAUCCAGCAAUGCCGCGUGCAGGAAGAGGGCCUUCGGGUUGUAAACUGCUUUUGUACGGAGCGAAAAGGCUCUCUCUAAUACAGGGGGCUCAUGACGGUACCGUAAGAAUAAGCACCGGCUAACUACGUGCCAGCCGCCGCCGUAAUAC